rnacentral:sRNA from 1 species
UUUUUUUCCUUUUUUUUUACGGUUUAGUUUAGACACUA